rnacentral:rRNA from 1 species
UACAGAGGUCUCAAGCGUUGUUCGGAUUCAUUGGGCGUAAAGGGCGCGUAGGCGGUGCGGUAAGUCUGCAGUGAAAUCUCUGGGCUCAACUCAGAGUCUGCUGUAGAAACUGCCGUGCUUGAGUGUGGGAGAGGUGAGUGGAAUUCCUGGUGUAGAGGUGAAAUUCGUAGAUAUCAGGAGGAACACCAGUGGCGAAGGCGGCUUUCUGGACGGUAACUGACGCUGAGACGCGAAAGCGUGGGGAGCAAACAGG